rnacentral:rRNA from 1 species
UACGUAGGGGGCAAGCGUUGUCCGGAAUCAUUGGGCGUAAAGCGCGUGUAGGCGGUUCGGUAAGUCUGCUGUGAAAGUCCAGGGCUCAACCCUGGGAUGCCGGUCGAUACUGCCGGACUAGAGUUCGGAAGAGGCGAGUGGAAUUCCCGGUGUAGCGGUGAAAUGCGCAGAUAUCGGGAGGAACACCUAUGGCGAAGGCAGCUCGCUGGGACGUUACUGACGCUGAGACGCGAAAGCGUGGGGAGCAAACAGG